rnacentral:rRNA from 1 species
CUUGAGAGUUUGAUCCUGGCUCAGAACGAACGCUGGCGGCAUGCCUAACACAUGCAAGUCGAGCGCACCUUCGGGUGAGCGGCGGACGGGUUAGUAACGCGUGGGAACAUACCCUUUUCUACGGAAUAGCCUCGGGAAACUGAGAGUAAUACCGUAUAAGCCCUUCGGGGGAAAGAUUUAUCGGGAAAGGAUUGGCCCGCGUUAGAUUAGAUAGUUGGUGGGGUAAUGGCCUACCAAG